UCUUAUCUUGAUGUCCUGACUGACAACA
rnacentral:piRNA from 1 species